rnacentral:antisense_RNA from 1 species
GAAAGCACGACAUUGCUCACAUUGCUUCCAGUAUUUCUUAGCCAGCUGCGUGCUGGCUUUUUUUU